UCUCCGUAGGUGAACCUGCGGAGGGAUCACUACAGAGUUCAUGCCCUAACGGGUAGAUCUCCCACCCUAUGUUUUCAUCACUUUGUUGCUUUGGCGGGCCGUCAGGCCUCGGCUUGGCUACCGGCUCUCGCUGGUAAGCGCCCGGCAGAGAACCCCAAACCCUGAAUAUCAGUGUCGUCUGAGUACUAUAUAAUAGUUAAAACUUUCAACAACGGAUCUCUUGGUUCUG
rnacentral:misc_RNA from 1 species